AUUGAACGCUGGCGGCAUGCCUUACACAUGCAAAUCGAACGGUAACGGGCCUUCGGGUGCCGACGAGUGGCGCACGGGUGAGUAAUACAUCGGAACGUGCCCGAUCGUGGGGGAUAACGAGGCGAAAGCUUUGCUAAUACCGCAUACGAUCUACGGAUGAAAGCAGGGGACCGCAAGGCCUUGCGCGGACGGAGCGGCCGAUGGCAGAUUAGGUAGUUGGUGGGAUAAAAGCUUACCAAGCCGACGAUCUGUAGCUGGUCUGAGAGGAUGAUCAGCCACACUGGGACUGAGACACGGCCCAGACUCCUACGGGAGGCAGCAGUGGGGAAUGUUGGACAAUGGGCGCAAGCCUGAUCCAGCCAUGCCGCGUGCAGGAUGAAGGCCUUCGGGUUGUAAACUGAUUUUGUACGGAACGAAAAGCCUUCUUUUAAUACAGGAGGGUCAUGACGGUACCGUAAGAAUAAGCACCGGCUAACUACGUG
rnacentral:rRNA from 1 species